AAAAAUCAAAAUUCUUUAAAAAAACUCUUAAAAAGAAUCUCUAAGGAAUACAAUUCGCAGCCACUGCUCCUAAUCGUCACUGCAAACGUCACCUUUCCUUCUACUUAUAUUAUUUAAGGAAGCAUUCCCGUGUACGCAGGUGCUUGUAGUUAGUCUUACUAGUAGCUUGAGCAAACAAAACCAUUUGCUGAUCACUCCAUCUAGUCAAACUCACCAGACUCCAGUCUUCCGCCGCCACAGAAGCAAUCACCAUGGCGGUGCAACCUCACUUCCUUCUGUUAACCUAUCCCGCACAAGGCCACAUAAAUCCUGCCCUCCAAUUCGCCAAGGGUCUGACACGUAUUGGUGCUCUCGUCACCCUUGUUACCUCUCUCUCUGCCGGCCGCCGCAUGUCCAAAACUUUGUUUCCUGACGGUUUGUCAUUCGUUACCUUUUCAGAUGGAUAUGACGACGGGUUUAAACCUGAAGAUGACAGAGAUCAUUUCACGUCUGAGCUCAAACGUCGAGGCUCACAGACUCUCAAUGAGCUUAUCGUAGAUAGUGCAAAAGAAGGAAAGCCCGUCACUUGUUUGGUUUACACGAUGCUUCUACAUUGGGCAUCUGAGGUGGCACGCGCACAGCAUCUCCCAGCAGCACUUCUUUGGAUCCAGCCUGCAACUGUCUUUGACAUCUAUUACUAUUACUUCAAUGGUUAUGGUGAUAUCUUCAAUAAUUGCAAGGACACUUCGUAUGCUAUUGAAUUACCAGGGCUCCCACCACUUGCUAGCCGUGACCUUCCCUCGUUUGUACUUCCUUCAAAUACUUAUACUUUUGCACUCCAGAUGUUUCAAGAGCAGCUGGAGCAGCUCAGCCAAGAAACCAACCCAAAAGUGCUUGUCAACUCUUUCGAUGCAUUGGAAUUGGGAGCUAUGAAUGCCACUGAAAAGUUCAACUUGAUUGGAAUCGGGCCAUUGAUCCCAUCUGCUUUCUUGGAUGGAAAAGAUCCGUUGGAUAAAUCCUUUGGAGGGGAUAUUUUCCACGGCUCCGAGGAUUACACUGAAUGGUUGAACUCAAAGACUAAAUCAUCAGUUGUUUAUGUAUCUUUUGGGAGCAUUUUGGUGUUAUCGAAGCGACAAAUUGAGGAGAUUGCUCGUGGAUUGGUAGAUAGUGGUCUUACAUUCCUGUGGGUCAUAAGGGAUGAACAGAAGAAGAACGAAGUGAAAGAAGAAGAAGAAGAAGAAGAAGAGGAUCAUCUGAGGGCCUGUAGAGAGGCGAUAUUGGAAAGGCAAGGGAUGAUAGUGCCAUGGUGUUGUCAAGUGGAGGUUUUGUCCCAUCCUUCGAUAGGAUGUUUUGUGACACACUGUGGGUGGAACUCAACUCUGGAGAGCUUGGUUUGUGAGGUUCCAGUUGUGGCAUUUCCUCACUGGACAGAUCAAGGAACAAAUGCCAAGCUGAUUGCAGACGUGUGGAAGACAGGAGUGAGGGUGGUGGCUAACGAAGAAGGGAUAGUCGAAGGCGAUGAGAUUAAGAGGUGCUUGGAUCUGGUUAUGGCACAUGGAAAGACGGGAGAAGACAUCAGAAAGAACGCCAAGAAAUGGAAAGAUCUAGCAAGAGAUGCUGUCAAGGAAGGAGGUUCCUCGGAUAAGAAUCUAAAGGCUUUUGUGCAGGAUGUUGGCGAGGGCUGUUUCUAGCUUGCCAGUGCCCUUCAGGCCACCAUAAGCACCAUCUUGGAUGGGUCCUUUCUAAUUCUGCUGCCAUCAAUUCGAUGAUUACGUCGUGAAUUUGAGAUGAUGUGAUUGUUUUGAGACAGACAAAAAACAGUUGUAAGAAAGAGAUACGUCUCUUAUGUCUUAAACAAUAAAAAUUCACUUGUUUUAAUAAUCUUUUUUUUUUGUUUUUAUUUAUUUAUUAUUCUUCAACUAACAUUUAUUUUUAUUAUUUCUGUAUUUAUCCAUUCUAUUUUAAAAUAUUAAUCAAACACAGCCCAUUAAUUAAAGAACAAAGUACGAGGCAUAGAGUUAACGAAGUCUCUCUUUUGAAUAAAACAAUCGGAGGUGUUGAAAACAGUCGUCUAUCUAUGAUAUUUGUAUUACAUGAUAUAUUUAUGCUAUCUAACAUAACUUAGGAUAAUAUAUAUAUUGUAAGUCGUUGCGAGUCAAAAUUUUUAAAACACGAUUAAGACAGCCUUACUUAUAUAAUUUAUAUUUUUUUAUCUUUAUAUUUAAUAAUUCAUAAAUUAAGUAUUUAUUUUUAUUUUAUUUAAAAAUAUCUCAAGUUCAAAGUUUUAUUAGAAGGUUUCUAUUAAAUUUCUUUUCCAUAAUAAAAUUUUUGUUUAUUUUCUAGAGAGAAAGGAAGAUAAGUACUAUGAUAUAAAAUAUAAAAAUCAUGAUUCAUCAUUCAAGUAGUUGUUAAACAUGGUUAGGUAUAAUGGAUUCAUCUUGAAAAAUCAAGGUUUGAAACCUGAACAAAGUGGUGGUUCUAGUUAAAUCAACCCAAACAUUAACUUAAUGAAAUAAGGCUGAUGUGUCUAGUUUUUAAUAAUCUAUUUGACCAUAUCAAACCUGAUCAAGUCAAUAUUAAUAUUUAAAAAACUUAUUUUUUAAUUUUUUUUAAUAAAAAUAAUUAACCUGAGUUAAUCUUUUAUGCAAUAUGAUAUUGAUAUGUAUUAAUUCUCUAGCAUAAUACUACUUUAUUACACACACUUUCACCGUGGGUUGGAUAAAAAAUAAUAUUUAGACCAUAAGAACUUUUUUAGCGUGGUUAUUAAAUUCAGUACAAUGGUUCCAACGUAAAAAUCAUUAACCCAAUUGUUUGCUAAGCUCGGAUUUUAAAUUAAAUCUCGUGGAGUUUACCAUGAUAUGACCUUGUCAGCUGAGAAAGUCCAAAUGAAAAAUAUCAAGGAAAAGAAAAGAAAUAAGUUGGGCUACCUCUAGUCAGCCAGUCAAACCUGCGAAUUAGGUUACAAACUUCACUAAGUUGAAUUAUUAUUAUUUAUUUUAUUAUAUGAUAAAAGUACAAAAAUUAAUUUACCAUCAACCCAAUACUUAAGAAUAAGAUUAAAUAAAAAUUCUAUAUUAAAUAAUAGAAUAGAAAAAAAAAUUACGAAAAGGGGGAAAAAACAAAGAAAAAAACAAUAAAAAAUCCCAUAUUAGAGGAUUAAGUUGGAAAAAAAAUCCAAAAGAUUAAAAAAUAAAAGAGUUUAAAAAAGCCAAAUGACCAAUAAAAAAAAGCUUUAGCGGCUUAACAUAACAAAACCAAGGCUCAUGGGUCUAAAAAAAACUCGUAAGUCUAGGCUACUUUUUUUAAAAAAAUAAAAGAUAAAUGACAGGUUAUCUAUUUUUUUUAAAAAAAAAAAAAUCAUACGACUUUUGAAAACAAACAUUGUGACCAAUCUCAAACCCGCGACCUUAUUUUCACUCGGCUAGUGUGAACCAACUAAACUACAACACAAUUUGUUAUAAAACAACUAAAUACCAUAUUGGGUUAAUUAAUUAUUCAUAACAUGAACACAGUUAAAUUGAACCCAUGUAUUUUUUAGUUGUAUUGAUAAUGCAAAUAGGAAAAUAAUUGUAGAAUAAUAGUUUUAAAUUCAUGAAUUGCAUUUCAACAACAACUCAUUCUUACUAUUACUAAUGAUUUUGAAUGCACCCAUCAAUUUGUUUUUUUUAUAUCCUCAAAUUCGAAGAAACAUUGAUUAAAUAAAUCAAAGAAACAAGAAGAAACAAACAAGCAUAGCACUAAUCUAAUUGAUGAUUCCUUAUAUUCAUGUUUUAAUUUUUUUUAAUGUUAAUAUUAAUAUCCGUGUGUGUUGUAUGGGCGCUGGUUAUUUGGUUUCUACUUCAAUACAAGCCACAAAGUACACAUCAACAAGUCUAUUAUUAUAACAAUUAACUAAUCUACGAGCCUCUUAUCAUAACCCAUUAUUUUAUGCAAAAUCAUCCCCAAUAUUCAAAAGUGUUAAUAAAAAUACAAAAGAAUAAUAAUAAUAAAUAAAUAAAUAUCAAUCGUGACAGAACGCAUCUGAGCUUGCAGUAUCAUCCUUUUUAAAUUUAGCUCCUCACACAUAGCGACGUAAACAUGUUACAUCAGGAUUAAAACAGGUUUGUUUUUAAUAUUUUGUAUUUAAAAAUAUAUUUAAAAAAUAUUUUUAUUAAAUUUUAAAAUUUAUUUUUCAUAUUAAUACAUUAAAACAAUUUAAAAAUAAUUAAAAAUAAUUAAAAAUUAAAAAAAUCAAAAUUCUUUAAAAAAACUCUUAAAAAGAAUCUCUAAGGAAUACAAUUCGCAGCCACUGCUCCUAAUCGUCACUGCAAACGUCACCUUUCCUUCUACUUAUAUUAUUUAAGGAAGCAUUCCCGUGUACGCAGGUGCGCCUUUUCCCUCGUAAUUUCUGGCUAGAGCAAACAAAACCAUUUGCUGAUCACUCCAUCUAGUCAAACUCACCACCCCAGUCUUCCGCCGCCACAGAAGCAAUCACCAUGGCGGUGCAACCUCACUUCCUUCUGUUAACCUAUCCCGCACAAGGCCACAUAAAUCCUGCCCUCCAAUUCGCCAAGGGUCUGACACGUAUUGGUGCUCUCGUCACCCUUGUUACCUCUCUCUCUGCCGGCCGCCGCAUGUCCAAAACUUUGUUUCCUGACGGUUUGUCAUUCGUUACCUUUUCAGAUGGAUAUGACGACGGGCUUAAACCUGAAGAUGACAGAGAACAUUUCAAGUCUGAGCUCAAACGUCGAGGCUCACAGACUCUCAAUGAGCUUAUCGUAGAUAGUGCAAAAGAAGGAAAGCCCGUCACUUGUUUGGUUUACACGAUGUUUCUACAUUGGGCAGCUGAGGUGGCAC
rnacentral:lncRNA from 1 species